rnacentral:rRNA from 1 species
UGGGAAUAUUGGACAAUGGGGGGAACCCUGAUCCAGCCAUGCCGCGUGUGUGAAGAAGGCCUUAUGGUUGUAAAGCACUUUAAGCGAGGAGGAGGGUACUGGUAUUAAUACUACCAGGUACUGGACGUUACUCGCAGAAUAAGCACCGGCUAACUCUGUGCCAGCAGCCGCGGUAAUACAGAGGGUGCGAGCGUUAAUCGGAUUUACUGGGCGUAAAGCGUGCGUAGGCGGCUAAUUGAGUCGGAUGUGAAAUCCCCGAGCUUAACUUGGGAAUUGCAUUCGAUACUGGUUAGCUAGAGUGUGGGAGAGGAUGGUAGAAUUCCAGGUGUAGCGGUGAAAUGCGUAGAGAUCUGGAGGAAUACCGAUGGCGAAGGCAGCCAUCUGGCCUAACACUGACGCUGAGGUACGAAAGCAUGGGGAGCAAACAGG